UACGUAGGGGGCAAGCGUUGUCCGGAUUUACUGGGCGUAAAGAGCGUGUAGGCGGCCAAGCAGGUCCGUUGUGAAAACUGGAGGCUCAACCUCCAGCGGUCAUUGGAAACCAUCUGGCUAGAGUCCGGAAGAGGAGAGUGGAAUUCCUGGUGUAGCGGUGAAAUGCGCAGAUAUCAGGAAGAACACCAAUGGCGAAGGCAGCUCUCUGGGACGGUACUGACGCUGAGACGCGAAAGCGUGGGGAGCGAACAGG
rnacentral:rRNA from 1 species